GACGAAGGGGGCUAGCGUUGUUCGGAAUUACUGGGCGUAAAGCGCGUGUAGGCGGUUGUCCAAGUUGGAUGUGAAAGCCUUGAGCUCAACUCAAGAAAUGCAUUCAGGACUGGAUGACUAGAGGACCGGAGAGGAUAGUGGAAUUCCCAGUGUAGUGGUGAAAUACGUAGAGAUUGGGAAGAACACCAGUGGCGAAGGCGGCUCACUGGUCCAUUACUGACGCUGAGGUGCGAAAGCGUGGGGAGCAAACAGG
rnacentral:rRNA from 1 species